rnacentral:rRNA from 1 species
CAGUCGCCGCGGUAAUACGUAGGUGGCAAGCGUUGUCCGGAAUUAUUGGGCGUAAAGGGCUCGCAGGCGGUUUCUUAAGUCUGAUGUGAAAGCCCCCGGCUCAACCGGGGAGGGUCAUUGGAAACUGGGAAACUUGAGUGCAGAAGAGGAGAGUGGAAUUCCACGUGUAGCGGCGAAAUGCGUAGAGAUGUGGAGGAACACCAGUGGCGAAGGCGACUCUCUGGUCUGUAACUGACGCUGAGGAGCGAAAGCGUGGGGAGCGAACAGGAUUAGAUACCCGCGUAGUCCCUGUCUCUUAUAC